GUAGCUGGUCUGAGAGGAUGGCCAGCCACACUGGAACUGAGACACGGUCCAGACUCCUACGGGAGGCAGCAGUGGGGAAUAUUGGACAAUGGGGGCAACCCUGAUCCAGCAAUGCCGCGUGUGUGAAGAAGGCCUGAGGGUUGUAAAGCACUUUCAGUGGGGAGGAGGAUUGAUAGGUUAAGAGCURAUUAAUUGGACGUUACCCACAGAAGAAGCACCGGCUAACUCCGUGCCAGCAGCCGCGGUAAUACGGAGGGUGCRAGCGUUAAUCGGAAUUACUGGGCGUAAAGGGUGCGUAGGUGGUUUAUUAAGUUAUCUGUGAAAUCCCUGGGCUUAACCUGGGCAGGUCAGAUAADACUGGUARACUCGAGUAUGG
rnacentral:rRNA from 1 species